rnacentral:tRNA from 1 species
GGCGGCAUAGCUCAGUUGGCAGAGCAAACGGCUCAUAACCGUUGUGUCACUGGUUCAAAUCCAGUUGCCGCUA